UACGAAGGGGGCUAGCGUUGUUCGGAUUUACUGGGCGUAAAGCGCACGUAGGCGGAUCGAUCAGUCAGGGGUGAAAUCCCAGGGCUCAACCCUGGAACUGCCUUUGAUACUGGGGAUCUUGAGUCCGGGAGAGGUGAGUGGAACUGCGAGUGUAGAGGUGAAAUUCGUAGAUAUUCGCAAGAACACCAGUGGCGAAGGCGGCUCACUGGCCCGGUACUGACGCUGAGGUGCGAAAGCGUGGGGAGCAAACAGG
rnacentral:rRNA from 1 species